AGAUACUUAUGGCAAUAAAGCAAAGAAACAAAAAACAACUCUACUUUUCCAGAAACUAUGGCAGGAUUGUGCAGUUAAUUUUCCUGAAAGACCUAGACCUGGCCCUCUAGGAUCAACUGGAGAAGGAAGAUUCAUCAAAAAAGAAUCAGACUUAUUUCCUCAUGGUGCACUUUUGACAGAAAUGACCAGACCUCCAGGAGUUUCAAGUCAAGCAGAAUCCUACUAUUCCUCAUCUGUACCCAUGUCAAGUGCCCAUCAUGCUUCAGCCAUAUCCUCAAUGGUACCUCCGCCACCUUCAAGCUGGUCAUCAGUGGCCCACCCCACCUCAUGCUCAGUCAGUGCAAAUCCACUGAGUAGUUAUUCAGCAGGGGCACUUCCCUCUAAUUCACAGGGUAUUUCACCAUUCCUGGAAAUACCUGUUGGGAGUGAUUUGAAUGCUCCUAACACUUGCAUUUAUAACAAUACUAAUGACAUAGGCAGAAUGGAAGCAUCAUCCAUGUCACCAACUGACUUAUAUGGUAUUUCUGAUGCCAGCAUGCUGCCUAAUUGCCCUGUGAAUAUAACACCAAGUAAUGACAGCAUGAGGGGAACUGA